GUGACAGCUAUCAGUGACAAGAGAGCUUUUCACUUGUUUCCCAGCUUUGGAUAAACGGGCCACAUUGAAACUAAUAUUGACGUCCUGGACGUCAAUGUGACAAGAGGGAAAUUUUCCAGUCGCGGAGAUGAUAAGAGUGUGGCAGAUCACGUUGACAGUCGGUGAAUGAAGAUGUUGGGUUGCUCAGACAUGCUACACUUGGACUGGACAAGCAUCCAGAGAAUAAUCUGCGGAAUGAUCGGAACAGGUUGAGAAUUUCCUCCGCAUUCAAACCUUUUGUCACCUUCGGGUGUAUCGAACCGGGACGGCUGGCGUUGAAUGAUGCCGUUUCGGCGCCGAUGACAUCGAUAGACG